AAAGCCCGCUCGCCGGAAGACCAAGGGUUCCUGUCCAACGUUAAUCGGGGCAGGGUGAGUCGACCCCUAAGGCGAGGCCGAAAGGCGUAGUCGAUGGGAAACGGGUUAAUAUUCCCGUACUUGGUGUUACUGCGAAGGGGGGACGGAGAAGGCUAUGUUGGCCGGGCGACGGUUGUCCCGGUUUAAGCGUGUAGGUGUGUGUUCCAGGUAAAUCCGGUUCACUUUAACACUGAGGCGUGACGACGAGGCACUACGGUGCUGAAGCAACAAAUGCCCUGCUUCCAGGAAAAGCCUCUAAGCAUCAGGUAACAUCAAAUCGUACCCCAAACCGACACAGGUGGUCAGGUAGAGAAUACCAAGGCGCUUGAGAGAACUCGGGUGAAGGAACUAGGCAAAAUGGUGCCGUAACUUCGGGAGAAGGCACGCUGACACGUAGGUGAAGUGAUUUACUCACGGAGCUGAAGUCAGUCGAAGAUACCAGCUGGCUGCAACUGUUUAUUAAAAACACAGCACUGUGCAAACACGAAAGUGGACGUAUACGGUGUGACGCCUGCCCGGUGCCGGAAGGUUAAUUGAUGGGGUCAGCGCAAGCGAAGCUCCUGAUCGAAGCCCCGGUAAACGGCGGCCGUAACUAUAACGGUCCUAAGGUAGCGAAAUUCCUUGUCGGGUAAGUUCCGACCUGCACGAAUGGCGUAAUGAUGGCCAGGCUGUCUCCACCCGAGACUCAGUGAAAUUGAACUCGCUGUGAAGAUGCAGUGUACCCGCGGCAAGACGGAAAGACCCCGUGAACCUUUACUAUAGCUUGACACUGAACAUUGAGCCUUGAUGUGUAGGAUAGGUGGGAGGCUUUGAAGCGUGGACGCCAGUCUGCGUGGAGCCGACCUUGAAAUACCACCCUUUAAUGUUUGAUGUUCUAACGUGGACCCGUGAUCCGGGUUGCGGACAGUGUCUGGUGGGUAGUUUGACUGGGGCGGUCUCCUCCUAAAGAGUAACGGAGGAGCACGAAGGUUGGCUAAUCCUGGUCGGACAUCAGGAGGUUAGUGCAAUGGCAUAAGCCAGCUUGACUGCGAGCGUGACGGCGCGAGCAGGUGCGAAAGCAGGUCAUAGUGAUCCGGUGGUUCUGAAUGGAAGGGCCAUCGCUCAACGGAUAAAAGGUACUCCGGGGAUAACAGGCUGAUACCGCCCAAGAGUUCAUAUCGACGGCGGUGUUUGGCACCUCGAUGUCGGCUCAUCACAUCCUGGGGCUGAAGUAGGUCCCAAGGGUAUGGCUGUUCGCCAUUUAAAGUGGUACGCGAGCUGGGUUUAGAACGUCGUGAGACAGUUCGGUCCCUAUCUGCCGUGGGCGCUGGAGAACUGAGGGGGGCUGCUCCUAGUACGAGAGGACCGGAGUGGACGCAUCACUGGUGUUCGGGUUGUCAUGCCAAUGGCACUGCCCGGUAGCUAAAUGCGGAAGAGAUAAGUGCUGAAAGCAUCUAAGCACGAAACUUGCCCCGAGAUGAGUUCUCCCUGAGACUUAAAGUCUCCUGAAGGAACGUUGAAGACGACGACGUUGAUAGGCCGGGUGUGUAAGCGCAGCGAUGCGUUGAGCUAACCGGUACUAAUGAACCGUGAGGCUUAACCUUAC
rnacentral:rRNA from 1 species